UUUUUUAAAACAGUUGAUCUAUCCAUGUAGUCCUUCUCUUAUCAAGACAUCAUUCAU
rnacentral:sRNA from 1 species